UACCAGCACCCCGAGUGGUCGGGACGAUUAUUGGGCCUAAAGCAUCCGUAGCCGGCCUUACAAGUCCCCCGUUAAAUCCACCUGCUUAACAGAUGGGCUGCGGAAGAUACUAUAGGGCUAGGAGGCGGGAGAGGCAAGCGGUACUCAGUGGGUAGGGGUAAAAUCCUCUGAUCCAUUGAAGACCACCAGUGGCGAAGGCGGCUUGCCAGAACGCGCUCGACGGUGAGGGAUGAAAGCUGGGGGAGCAAACCGG
rnacentral:rRNA from 1 species